rnacentral:rRNA from 1 species
CCUACGGGGGGCAGCAGUGGGGAAUAUUGCUCAAUGGGGGAAACCCUGAAGCAGCAACGCCGCGUGAAGGAUGAAGGUUUUCGGGUUGUAAACUCCUUUUUUUAGAGAAGAUAAUGACGGUAUCUAACGAAUAAGCACCGGCUAACUCCGUGCCAGCAGCCGCGGUAAUACGGAGGGUGCAAGCGUUACUCGGAAUCACUGGGCGUAAAGGGCGCGUAGGCGGGAUAGCAAGUCAGAUGUGAAAUCCUAUGGCUUAACCAUAGAACUGCAUUUGAAACUGUUAUUCUAGAGUAUGGGAGAGGUAGGCGGAAUUCGUGGUGUAGCGGUAAAAUGCGUAGAGAUCAAGAGGAACACCCAUUGCGAAGGCGACCUGCUAGAACAUAACUGACGCUGAUGCGCGAAAGCGUGGGGAGCAAACAGGAUUAGAUACCCUAGUAGUC